UACAGAGGGGGCAAGCGUUGUUCGGCAUUACUGGGCGUAAAGGGCGCGUAGGCGGCCUUCUAAGUCGAACGUGAAAUCCCCGGGCUCAACCCGGGAACUGCGUCCGAUACUGGAAGGCUUGAAUCCGGGAGAGGGAUGUGGAAUUCCAGGUGUAGCGGUGAAAUGCGUAGAUAUCUGGAGGAACACCGGUGGCGAAGGCGACAUCCUGGACCGGUAUUGACGCUGAGGCGCGAAAGCCAGGGGAGCAAACGGG
rnacentral:rRNA from 1 species